rnacentral:rRNA from 1 species
UGGGGAAUAUUGCACAAUGGGGGAAACCCUGAUGCAGCGACGCCGCGUGAGUGAAGAAGUAUUUCGGUACGUAAAGCUCUAUCAGCAGGGAAGAAAAGGAACUAAAGUUCCCAUGACGGUACCUGACUAAGAAGCCCCGGCUAACUACGUGCCAGCAGCCGCGGUAAUACGUAGGGGGCAAGCGUUAUCCGGAUUUACUGGGUGUAAAGGGAGCGUAGACGGCAGCGCAAGUCUGAAGUGAAAUGCCGGGGCCCAACCCCGGAACUGCUUUGGAAACUGUGCAGCUUGAGUGCGGGAGAGGUAAGUGGAAUUCCUAGUGUAGCGGUGAAAUGCGUAGAUAUUAGGAGGAACACCAGUGGCGAAGGCGGCUUACUGGACCGUAACUGACGUUGAGGCUCGAAAGCGUGGGGAGCAAACAGG